UCAACUAUUUCGACGGGAAUAAAAUUCAACGGCUUUUGUCUUUUUGUUGAAGUUAAAACUGUAACCCAAUUCACUGAGAUGGCAGCUUUACAAGCUCUGAUUGAAGAGGGCCUGGUGCUUGCUGAUCAAUCAGGACAGAUAGACUCGAGGCCAUGCUUGUUCAAGUUGAAGCAACUGAAUCACUUCAGUUGGCUCAAUGCCCAGGUGUUAAAUCAUGGAUAUGGAGAAAAUCAGUACAGAAGGAUCCAGCGCAUCAUACUGUGAAAUAGCUCUUACUGUCAUUAACGAAGAGCACGUGUCUUACAACUCAGGAGAAAAAAAG